UGGCGGGGGGAGGGGGCCGCCGCAGCCCGCCCCGGCCCGCCGCCCUCGGUCGCCUCGCCGCCCUCCCCUCGUAUCGCCCCCAGCUCUGCCCUCCCGUGAAGCCCCGGCCCUGGGAGUCCCGUCGUUUCUCCCCGCGGCGGCAGGGGCGCUGGCGGGGGGAGCCCGGCGUUUCCAGCCUUGCUGGAGCUCGGCUGCGCCGGUCCCGGGAGGCGUAAAACGUUGUGGCCGUUCUGAGCCAAAGCGGCUUGCUGAGGGAGGAGAGGCCCUGCUUGCCCCAUGCGCCCGGCGAGAGGGCAGCCACCUGCCGCCCUGGGGACCGGGAGCAGUGGCCCAGGAGGUUGUGAUUCUGGAAAACAGAAGGCAGUGCUGGACAACUAUAGCUCUACGUUUAAGUAUUGUGACAGUGAAUUACUGUGCAAGAGAGAACAUUCCGAGUGAGUCUCAAAAUAGAAGGCAGUUAAGUAAUGCAAGUGAUAAUGAGGAGAAACCAUGUGCUGAUCCAGCUGUCCACACAUCAUUAAGGAGUCCUUUCUGGAUCACAGUUUCUUAUUUUGGAGAGGGUUCUUCCACAUCUUCCACUGUCCUUCUGCCUCAGAUGCUUGUCCAAAGGAAGAUUAAAGUUAUGUUUGAAUAUCAUGAGACACUGAUUGAUUUUUCUAGCAGAAAAUCCACAUAUUAUUGA
rnacentral:lncRNA from 1 species